AUUGAACGCUGGCGGCAUGCCUUACACAUGCAAGUCGAACGGUAACAGGUCUUCGGAUGCGGACAUGUGGCGAACGGGUGAGUAAUACAUCUGAACGUGCCCGAUCGUGGGGGCUAACGAGGCGAGAGCUUUGCUAAUACCGCAGGCGAUCUACGGAUGAAGGCUGGGGAUCGUCGGAUCUGGCGCGGACGGAUCGUCCGGUGGCAGGGGAUGUACUUGGUGGGAUAAAAGCUUACCAAGCCGACGAGCGGUAGCUGGACUGAGAGGAGGAGCAGGCACACUGGGACUGAGACACGGACACGACUCCUACGGGAGGGAGCAGUGGGGAAUUUUGGACAAUGGGAGAAAGCCUGAUCCAGCCAUGCCGAGUGCAGGAUGAAGGCCUUCGGGUUGUAAACUGCUUUUGUACGGAACGAAAAGCCUCUUUCUAAUAAAGAGGGGUCAUGACGGUACCGUAAGAAUAAGCACCGGCUAACUACGUG
rnacentral:rRNA from 1 species